AUCGCUUCUCGGUCUUUUGGCUAAGAUCAAGUGUACUAUCUGUUCUUAUCAGUUUAAUAUCUGGUAUGUCCCCUACCCGGGGACCAUAUAUUAAAUUGUUUUUUGGAACUGGGAGAUAGAAUAGGGGCUUGCUUUGUCCACUCCACGCAUCGACCUGGUAUUGCAGUACCUCCAGGAACGACGCACCCCCC
rnacentral:snRNA from 1 species